rnacentral:rRNA from 1 species
GACGAACGCUGGCGGCGUGCUUAACACAUGCAAGUCGAACGGUGAAAGCGGAGCUUGCUCCGCUGGAUCAGUGGCGAACGGGUGAGUAACACGUGGGCAACCUGCCCCUCACUUCGGGAUAACUCCGGGAAACCGGGGCUAAUACCGGAUAUGACCUCCUUGGGCAUCCUUGGAGGUGGAAAGUUUUUCGGUGAGGGAUGGGCCCGCGGCCUAUCAGCUUGUUGGUGAGGUAGUGGCUUACCAAGGAGACGACGGGUAGCCGGCCUGAGAGGGCGACCGGCCACACUGGGACUGGGACACGGCCCAGACUCCUACGGGAGGCAGCAGUGGAGAAUAUUGCGCAAGGGGCGAAAGCCUGACGCAGCAACGCCGCGUGCGGGAUGACGGCCUUCGGGUUGUAAACCGCUUUCAGCAGGGAAGAAGCCGCAAGGUGACGGUACCUGCAGAAGAAGCACCGGCUAACUACGUGCCAGCCGCCGCAGUAA